rnacentral:ncRNA from 1 species
CGGCGGGGACGACCCCGCCGCACACGGAGCCAGGCAUGGACGACCUUG